rnacentral:rRNA from 1 species
CCACGCCGUAAACGAUGAGUGCUAGGUGUUAGGCCCUUUCCGGGGCUUAGUGCCGUAGCUAACGCAUUAAGCACUCCGCCUGGGGAGUACGACCGCAAGGUUGAAACUCAAAGGAAUUGACGGGGGCCCGCACAAGCGGUGGAGCAUGUGGUUUAAUUCGAAGCAACGCGAAGAACCUUACCAGGUCUUGACAUCCCGAUGCCCGCUCUAGAGAUAGAGUUUUACUUCGGUACAUCGGUGACAGGUGGUGCAUGGUUGU